GGUUAAGCGACUAAGCGUACACGGUGGAUGCCCUGGCAGUCAGAGGCGAUGAAGGACGUGCUAAUCUGCGAUAAGCGUCGGUAAGGUGAUAUGAACCGUUAUAACCGGCGAUUUCCGAAUGGGGAAACCCAGUGUGAUUCGUCACACUAUCAUUACGUGAAUACAUAGCGUAAUGAAGCGAACCGGGGGAACUGAAACAUCUAAGUACCCCGAGGAAAAGAAAUCAACCGAGAUUCCCCCAGUAGCGGCGAGCGAACGGGGAGCAGCCCAGAGUCUGAAUCAGCUUGUGUGUUAGUGGAACGGUCUGGAAAGUCCGACGGUACAGGGUGAUAGUCCCGUACACCAAAAUGCACAGGUUGUGAACUCGAAGAGUAGGGCGGGACACGUGGUAUCCUGUCUGAAUAUGGGGGGACCAUCCUCCAAGGCUAAAUACUCCUGACUGACCGAUAGUGAACCAGUACCGUGAGGGAAAGGCGAAAAGAACCCCGGCGAGGGGAGUGAAAAAGAACCUGAAACCGUGUACGUACAAGCAGUGGGAGCCUCUUUAUGGGGUGACUGCGUACCUUUUGUAUAAUGGGUCAGCGACUUAUAUUCUGUAGCAAGGUUAACCGUAUAGGGGAGCCGAAGGGAAACCGAGUCUUAACUGGGCGUUAAGUUGCAGGGUAUAGACCCGAAACCCGGUGAUCUAGCCAUGGGCAGGUUGAAGGUUGGGUAACACUAACUGGAGGACCGAACCGACUAAUGUUGAAAAAUUAGCGGAUGACUUGUGGCUGGGGGUGAAAGGCCAAUCAAACCGGGAGAUAGCUGGUUCUCCCCGAAAGCUAUUUAGGUAGCGCCUCGUGAACUCAUCUUCGGGGGUAGAGCACUGUUUCGGCUAGGGGGUCAUCCCGACUUACCAACCCGAUGCAAACUGCGAAUACCGAAGAAUGUUAUCACGGGAGACACACGGCGGGUGCUAACGUCCGUCGUGAAGAGGGAAACAACCCAGACCGCCAGCUAAGGUCCCAAAGUCAUGGUUAAGUGGGAAACGAUGUGGGAAGGCACAGACAGCCAGGAUGUUGGCUUAGAAGCAGCCAUCAUUUAAAGAAAGCGUAAUAGCUCACUGGUCGAGUCGGCCUGCGCGGAAGAUGUAACGGGGCUAAACCAUGCACCGAAGCUGCGGCAGCGACACUAUGUGUUGUUGGGUAGGGGAGCGUUCUGUAAGCCGUUGAAGGUGUAUCGUGAGGUAUGCUGGAGGUAUCAGAAGUGCGAAUGCUGACAUAAGUAACGAUAAUGCGGGUGAAAAACCCGCACGCCGGAAGACCAAGGGUUCCUGUCCAACGUUAAUCGGGGCAGGGUGAGUCGACCCCUAAGGCGAGGCCGAAAGGCGUAGUCGAUGGGAAACAGGUUAAUAUUCCUGUACUUGGUGUUACUGCGAAGGGGGGACGGAGAAGGCUAUGUUAGCCGGGCGACGGUUGUCCCGGUUUAAGCAUGUAGGCGGAGGUUCCAGGUAAAUCCGGUACCUUUUAACGCUGAGGUGUGAUGACGAGGCACUACGGUGCUGAAGUAACAAAUGCCCUGCUUCCAGGAAAAGCCUCUAAGCAUCAGGUAACACGAAAUCGUACCCCAAACCGACACAGGUGGUCAGGUAGAGAAUACCAAGGCGCUUGAGAGAACUCGGGUGAAGGAACUAGGCAAAAUGGUGCCGUAACUUCGGGAGAAGGCACGCUGAUAUGUAGGUGAAGCGGUUUACCCGUGGAGCUGAAAUCAGUCGAAGAUACCAGCUGGCUGCAACUGUUUAUUAAAAACACAGCACUGUGCAAACACGAAAGUGGACGUAUACGGUGUGACGCCUGCCCGGUGCCGGAAGGUUAAUUGAUGGGGUUAUCCGUAAGGAGAAGCUCUUGAUCGAAGCCCCGGUAAACGGCGGCCGUAACUAUAACGGUCCUAAGGUAGCGAAAUUCCUUGUCGGGUAAGUUCCGACCUGCACGAAUGGCGUAAUGAUGGCCAGGCUGUCUCCACCCGAGACUCAGUGAAAUUGAACUCGCUGUGAAGAUGCAGUGUACCCGCGGCAAGACGGAAAGACCCCGUGAACCUUUACUAUAGCUUGACACUGAACACUGGUCCUUGAUGUGUAGGAUAGGUGGGAGGCUUUGAAGUGUGGACGCCAGUCUGCAUGGAGCCAUCCUUGAAAUACCACCCUUUAAUGGCUGGUGUUCUAACGUGGACCCGUAAUCCGGGUUGCGGACAGUGUCUGGUGGGUAGUUUGACUGGGGCGGUCUCCUCCUAAAGAGUAACGGAGGAGCACGAAGGUUAGCUAAUCCUGGUCGGACAUCAGGAGGUUAGUGCAAAGGCAUAAGCUAGCUUGACUGCGAGAGUGACGGCUCGAGCAGGUGCGAAAGCAGGUCUUAGUGAUCCGGUGGUUCUGAAUGGAAGGGCCAUCGCUCAACGGAUAAAAGGUACUCCGGGGAUAACAGGCUGAUACCGCCCAAGAGUUCAUAUCGACGGCGGUGUUUGGCACCUCGAUGUCGGCUCAUCACAUCCUGGGGCUGAAGUAGGUCCCAAGGGUAUGGCUGUUCGCCAUUUAAAGUGGUACGCGAGCUGGGUUUAGAACGUCGUGAGACAGUUCGGUCCCUAUCUGCCGUGGGCGCUGGAGAAUUGAGGGGGGCUGCUCCUAGUACGAGAGGACCGGAGUGGACGCAUCACUGGUGUUCGGGUUGUCAUGCCAAUGGCAUUGCCCGGUAGCUAAAUGCGGAAGAGAUAAGUGCUGAAAGCAUCUAAGCACGAAACUUGCCCCGAGAUGAGUUCUCCCUGAGACUAUAAGUCUCCUGAAGGAACGUUGAAGACGACGACGUUGAUAGGCUGGGUGUGUAAGUGUAGCGAUACAUUGAGCUAACCAGUACUAAUGAACCGUGAGGCUUAACCUU
rnacentral:rRNA from 1 species